rnacentral:rRNA from 1 species
GAGUUUGAUCAUGGCUCAGAACGUACGCUGGCGGCACGCCUAACACAUGCAAGUCGAACGAAGUAGCAAUACUUAGUGGCAGACGGGUGAGUAACAUGUAGGUAUCUGCCCUUUGGCCUGGAAUAACACGAGGAAACUUGUGCUAAUACCGGAUAAGUCUUUACGGAGAAAGCUUUAUGCACCAUUGGAUGAGCCUGCACUUGAUUAGUUUGUUGGUGGGGUAAUGGCCUACCAAGACUGUGAUCAAUAGCUGAUUUGAGAGGAUGAUCAGCCACAUUGGGACUGAGACACGGCCCAAACUCCUACGGGAGGCAGCAGUGGGGAAUCUUGCACAAUGGAGGAAACUCUGAUGCAGCGAUGCCGCGUGAGUGAAGAAGGCCCUUGGGUUGUAAAGCUCUUUCGUCGGGGAAGAAAAUGACUGUACCCGAAUAAGAAGGUCCGGCUAACUUCGUGCCAGCAGCCGCGGUAAUACGAAGGGACCUAGCGUAGUUCGGAAUUACUGGGCUUAAAGAGUUCGUAGGUGGUUGAAAAAGUUAGUGGUGAAAUCCCAGAGCUUAACUCUGGAACUGCCAUUAAAACUUUUCAGCUAGAGUAUGAUAGAGGAAAGCAGAAUUUCUAGUGUAGAGGUGAAAUUCGUAGAUAUUAGAAAGAAUACCAAUUGCGAAGGCAGCUUUCUGGAUCAUUACUGACACUGAGGAACGAAAGCAUGGGUAGCGAAGAGGAUUAGAUACCCUCGUAGUCCAUGCCGUAAACGAUGUGUGUUAGACGUUGGAAAUUUAUUUUCAGUGUCGCAGGAAACCGAUAAACACACCGCCUGGGGAGUACGA